AACGCGAAGAACCUUACCUACCCUUGACAUGUACGGAAUUCCGCUGAGAGGUGGAAGUGCCCGAAAGGGAGCCGUAACACAGGUGCUGCAUGGCUGUCGUCAGCUCGUGUCGUGAGAUGUUGGGUUAAGUCCCGCAACGAGCGCAACCCUUGUCCUUAGUUGCCAGCGAGUAAUGUCGGGAACUCUAAGGAGACUGCCGGUGACAAACCGGAGGAAGGUGGGGAUGACGUCAAGUCCUCAUGGCCCUUACGGCCAGGGCUACACACGUACUACAAUGGUCGGUACAGAGGGUUGCGAAGCCGCGAGGUGGAGCCAAUCCCAGAAAGUCGAUCCCAGUCCGGAUCGAAGUCUGCAACUCGACUUCGUGAAGUCGGAAUCGCUAGUAAUCGCGGAUCAGCUAUGCCGCGGUGAAUACGUUCCCGGGUCUUGUACACACCG
rnacentral:rRNA from 1 species